rnacentral:rRNA from 1 species
UGGGGAAUUUUGGACAAUGGGCGAAAGCCUGAUCCAGCAAUGCCGCGUGUGUGAAGAAGGCCUUCGGGUUGUAAAGCACUUUUGUCCGGAAAGAAAUCCUUGGCUCUAAUACAGUCGGGGGAUGACGGUACCGGAAGAAUAAGCACCGGCUAACUACGUGCCAGCAGCCGCGGUAAUACGUAGGGUGCAAGCGUUAAUCGGAAUUACUGGGCGUAAAGCGUGCGCAGGCGGUUUGCUAAGACCGAUGUGAAAUCCCCGGGCUCAACCUGGGAACUGCAUUGGUGACUGGCAGGCUAGAGUAUGGCAGAGGGGGGUAGAAUUCCACGUGUAGCAGUGAAAUGCGUAGAGAUGUGGAGGAAUACCGAUGGCGAAGGCAGCCCCCUGGGCCAAUACUGACGCUCAUGCACGAAAGCGUGGGGAGCAAACAGGAUUAGAUACCCUGGUAGUCCACGCCCUAAAACGAUGUCAACUAGUUGUUGGGGAUUCAUUUCCUUAGUAACGUAGCUAACGCGUGAAGUCGACCGCCUGGGGAGUACGGUCGCAAGAUUAAAACUCAAAGGAAUUGACGGGG